ACCUCAGUUACAAUAAUGUUUCGGCACUGAAGAUGUUGGCUGCCCGGACUAACUGGGUCUUAACCUCAGAGAAGAACAAGGUGAGUUUAUACACACUGGAGGAGAACCAGAUGUUGUGCUUUAAGGUGGAGACUCAUGUGGCUGUGGCGGCCGAGCAGGUGUUUCUGUUACUGUCUGAUCUAAGGCGAAGGAAGGCAUGGGACCACCACUACCAAGAGUGUGACGUGAUAACCGACUCAGAUGAAGACGACUCUGUGACUAAAAGAGGCA